rnacentral:tRNA from 1 species
AGGGUGGUGGCUUAGUGGUAGAGCGCUUGCCUAGCAUGCGUGAGGCACUGGGUUCGAUCCUCAGCACCCCA